AUUGUUUUGGCCCAGUGGUUAAGGCGGGAUUUUGACUCUCAAUUAAGUGGGAGGUCUUGAGUUCGAGUCUCAAUGCAAGCAAUG